rnacentral:tRNA from 1 species
UCCUCUGUAGUUCAGUCGGUAGAACGGCGGACUGUUAAUCCGUAUGUCACUGGUUCGAAUCCAGUCGGAGGAGCCA